GUCUGGAAGGAUAUGGCCCAAGGUCAUUUUUGCUGGAAGCAUCUUCCAAACCAAAGGGAACACACAGCUCUUCUUAAAAUUGAAGGUGCCUGAGAUGCCUGAGCUGAAACCGGAUUUUAGUUAGGCAAGAGAUAUGUUCAUGUGUACAAAGCAAAGGAUAAUACAGUGUAUCCUGGCAGCAAACCAAAGCCUGAGUUAUCUGGGAAAAGGUCACUGGCACCCAUGGAAACAGUAGCAUGGUUGGUCCCAAAUCCUGAAGCACCUC
rnacentral:lncRNA from 1 species